CCCUGCCAUUUGUACACACCGCCCGUCGCACCUACCGAUUGAAUGGUCCGGUGAAGCCUCGGGAUUGUGAUCAGUUCACUUCAUUGUGAGUUGGUUGUGAGAACUUGUCUAAACCUUAUCAUUUAGAGGAAGGUGAAGUCGUAACAAGGUUUC
rnacentral:rRNA from 1 species